UGGAUGCCAUGAAGUGAGCGGCUCUGCUCCACAGCGGACCCUUCCACGAGGCCGUUUCUGCCCUGGAGCCAGCUGGCGAAGACUGAAACCUCUACAGUCGGCCUGGCUGCAGUCUGAACUUGGAUUACAAGGAACUGGCAUUCAUAAGCGCAAGCAACAGAAACUGAUUGGGAAUUUAAGCAGAAGAGGAAUCAGAGGAGAAGCCACUGGGGAGUCUGGCGUUGAUUGCUGGGAAGGCUGCAGUAGCAAAUCUGAACACCAUGCUAGCAGAGGCACAGGGCUAAUCUGGUCCCAGAACCCUCCACUUCUGCUAACCGUACCCAAGCUCCUCCUCCCAUGGACACUAGGAACAGUCACUGGCCUUAGAGCCUGAGCUUUUCCUGACACAGGUUAGUGCUGCUUCUGUGGCCACCACCACUAGUCUGGGCCUCUGCACCACCUCGUGUCUUUGUGUCACUGGCGUCUCAUUCAAAGCAAGUUUUCUGCAGGUAUCUCCCAAGGGGCAACAGGAAGCCAGAGAACGAGGGAUCGUGACACAUUCAUAAAGUUUUCAGGGAGAUGUAGCAGUGGCAUGGAUGCUGAUGUCCACCCAGAACUGCCCGGACUUGAGGAACAGAAGACUUAGUCCUCCAGCUCUGGGGAGCACAGUUGGCAGGUGAGCCUUACCUGUAAUCCUUUUUUGGGGUUGUCCUUGGCUGCCAUGUUUUUGAGGCAGCCUCUAUGAUGAUUGAUCAACUUGAAGCCACAGAGGCUGAUCCCCUUCCCCCAGCUCAGGACAACUCCACAAAGAUCUAUCUCGGGGCUGGAGAUUUAGUUCAGUGGCACAGCGCCUGCCUGGCAAGUGCAAGAUUGUGAGUUCGAUUCCUGGUACCAGAAGAAAAACAAAACAAAACAAAACAAAAACCACAAAGAUAUAUCUCAGGCUCAGAGUUCUCCAUAGAGUAUGCUGGAGUCUUGGUCCUGAUAUCAUAAUUCAACCACUCUGUCUGCCGCAUCCUGCUGCAUCUCUUUUCCACAAGUGUUGAGCCCAAGAGCGCUCCUUAAGUGACUUUUUAGUGCUGAUCUCUGCCUCAGAGCCUGCUUCCCGGCAAAGCCACCCAGCACUCCUCCACCCCUACUUAUGUCCAUGCUCCUUGCAAUGUCACUUACUAGCUUCUACAAUCAAGAGUUGGGGGCUAAUUUUGCCACACCUUAAAUCUAAGAUUGUGUUGAGAUUUGCUUUGGUCAACAGAAUGAGACAGAAGUGACCUUGCACUGGAUCUGAGCCUGCACCUCCAGAAGCCUUGCAUGCUUCUGCUCUCACUCUUGGAACCCUGCCACUACCCAGAGACCAAGCCCAGGCCAGCCUGCUGGAGUGCGAAAGACCUGUGGCCAAGCUGCCACUGUUGCCCCAGCUGACCGUGAACCAACCCCAGAAGCAGAGCCAUCUAGCUGGCCACAGUGUGUGAAUGAACCCAGCCAAGGCCGGAAGUAACACCUAGUUGAGCCCAGCCCAACUUACCAACCCAGAAAUCUAUGUGCUUAAAGAGGAUUUGUUUUAAAGAGACUGAGAAAAAGCAGCUGCUUUUGCUGUAGCACUAAGAGAAACAGACCCAA